rnacentral:rRNA from 1 species
AGAGUUUGAUCAUGGCUCAGGACGAACGCUGGCGGCGUGCUUAACACAUGCAAGUCGAGCGAGGCCCACCUUUCGGGGUGGUGUCCUAGCGGCGAACGGGUGAGUAACACGUGGGCAACCUGCCCUCAGCUCUGGGAUAACUCCAAGAAAUUGGGGCUAAUACCGGAUAUGACCGCUGACCGCAUGGUCUGGUGGUGGAAAGAUUUAUCGGCUGGGGAUGGGCCCGCGGCCUAUCAGCUUGUUGGUGGGGUAGUGGCCUACCAAGGCGACGACGGGUAGCCGGCCUGAGAGGGUGACCGGCCACACUGGGACUGAGACACGGCCCAGACGCCUACGGGAGGCAGCAGUGGGGAAUAUUGCGCAAUGGGCGAAAGCCUGACGCAGCGACGCCGCGUGGGGGAUGACGGCCUUCGGGUUGUAAACCUCUUUCAGCAGGGACGAAGCGAAAGUGACGGUACCUGCAGAAGAAGCACCGGCCAACUACGUGCCAGCAGCCGCGGUAAUUC